GGAGUCCAAAGGGUGCAGCUUUUGUUUGGAUAAAGACAUUUUAAGAUGACGUCAGUAAAUGAAACCAACGCCGGUUUUGAUCUUAAAAUAAAACUCAUUUUAUUUGUACGUGAAGCAGGUUGAUGUGUCACCGUGUCGUCGACCUGGACCCGAGGGGUUUCCUGGCAACACAGUUCCUGGGAAUAUCAGCAGGGAUUUCUACAGCCGAACAAUGAAGACAGCCUGGAGGGUCCUGUGGAAACCAGAGAGUAGAAGAGCGGUCAAGCACACAGAGUACAACCUUCAUCCUGAAGCACCGCGGGGACGGACCCUCAUUUACUGACACGCAAAUCUCACUCUGACACAAUCACUUAACGGGAGAUAACCGUCUACGAUACAUCGUUUUAAUCCGUCGGAUUAUAGUUCAUGUAAAUCGAGCAUCAAGAAACACUUUGCUUGCCAACAGAAGUUUUAGUUGCACAAAUCAUUUCUCUGUAAACACCUGAAAAUAUAGAUUUUAGUUUGUAAAUUGACAAUUUCA